UACGUAGGGGGCAAGCGUUGUCCGGAAUCAUUGGGCGUAAAGGGCUCGUAGGCGGUCUGUCGCGUCAGGAGUGAAAACUCGGGGCUUAACCCCGAGCCUGCUUCUGAUACGGGCAGACUAGAGGUAUGCAGGGGAGAACGGAAUUCCUGGUGUAGCGGUGAAAUGCGCAGAUAUCAGGAGGAACACCGGUGGCGAAGGCGGUUCUCUGGGCAUUACCUGACGCUGAGGAGCGAAAGUGUGGGGAGCGAACAGG
rnacentral:rRNA from 1 species